rnacentral:lncRNA from 1 species
UUCAUUAAUCGUUGAUUGUUUUCAACUAACCACAAAGACAUCAGAAUACUAUAUUUAGUAUUCGGCGCAUCAGAGGGAAUAGCGGGCACCACCUUAAGCCUUCUAAUUCAAGCAGAAUUAGGCCAACCAGGAACUCUGCUAGGAGAUGAUCAGAUUUACGAUGUUACUGUUACCGCCCACACAUUCGUCAUAAUUUGUCUUUAUGGUAAUACCAAUCAUAUUUGGGGGUGUUGGCAACUGGCUAGUCCCUCUGAUGAUUGGUGCACCUGAUACGGCAUUCCCCCGGAUAAAUAAUAUGAGCUUCUGACUUCUCCCCCCAUCUUUUCUACUCCUACUUGCAUCUUCAGUAGUAGAAGCCAGCGCUGGAACCGGCUGGACAGUUUAUCCCCCUUUAGCAGGAAACCUAGCAGGAGCCUCUGUGGAUCUAACCAUCUUCUCACUCCACUUGGCAGGUGUUUCUUCUAUUUUAGCGGCCAUUAACUUUAUUACAGUUAUUAACAUAAAACCCCCAGCCUUAUCCCAAUAUCAACCACCCCUUUUCAUCUGAUCAGUCCUCAUUCUGGCAGUCCUUCUCCUCCUUUCUCUCCCAGUCCUAGCCGCUGGCAUUGCCAUAUUAUUAACUGACCGUAACCUCAAUACUACUUUUUUUGACCCUGCUGGCAGGGGUAACCCUAUUUUGUAUCAACAUUUAUUCUGAUUCUUUGGUCAUCCUGAAGUCUAUAACCUUAUCCUACCAGGCUUUGGGAUAAUCUCCCAUAUCGUAACCUAUUACUCUGGAAAAAAGGAACCAUUUGAGUAUAUGGGCAUAGUAUGAGCCAUAAUAUCAACUGGCUUCUUAGGAUUUAUCAUACGGGCUCACCAUACAUUUACAGUAGGAAUGGAUGUAGACACACGAGCAUACUUCACCUCCGCCACUAUAAUUAUUGCUAUCCCUACUGGAGUCAAGGUCUUUAGCUGAUUAGCUACACUGCACGGCAGUAGUAUCAAAUGAUCUCCCACAAUAUUCUGAGCACCUAGGAUUCAUUUUCCCAUUAACAGUAGGAGGUUUAACUGGCAUUAUACUAGCUAAUUCAUCAUUAGACAUUAUUUUACAAGACAUAUAUUAUGGUGUGGCCCAUUUCCACUAUGUUCUAUCAAUAGGAGCGGUAUUUGCCAUCACAGGAGGCUUUGUCCACUGAUUCCCCCUAUUUUCAGGUUAUAUACUUAAUCAGACGUAUGCUAAAAUCCACUUCAUCAUUAUAUUUAUAGGUGUUAAUUUAACCUUUUCCCCACAGCACUUCCUCGGCCUGUUGGUGUGCGUCGACGUUACUCUGAUUAACCUGAUACAUACACCACAUGAAAUGUUAUCUCAUCAGUAGGCUCAUUUAUCUCAUUAACAGCAGUCAUAUUAAUAAUUUUCAUAAUCUGAGAAGCCUUUGCUUCAAAACGAAAAGUUCUAACAAUUGAACAAGCAUCUACUAAUUAACAGUGACUUUACAGCUGUCCACCACCUUACCACACAUUCGAAGAGCCAAUCUAUGUGAAAACC